rnacentral:lncRNA from 1 species
CUUGAGCUGUGGUGGGCUCCACCCAGUUGGAGCUUCCCUGCUGCUUUGUUUACCUAAGCAAGCCUGGGCAAUGGCGGGCGCCCCUCCCCCAGCCUAGCUGCCGCUUGCAGUUUGAUCUCAGACUGCUGUGCUAGCAAUCAGCGAGACUCCGUGGGUGUAGGACCCUCCGAGCCAGGUGUAGGAUAUAAUCUCGUGGUGCGCCGUUUUUUAAGCCCAUCAGAAAAGCGCAGUAUUCGGGUGGGAGUGACCCGACUUUCCAGGUGCCGUCCAUCACCCCUUUCUUUGACUCGGAAAGGGAACUCCCUGACCCCUUGCGCUUCCCGAGUGAGGCAAUGCCUCGCCCUGCUUCGACUCGCGCAUGGUGCGCGCACGCACUGACCUGCGCCCACUGUCUGGCACUCCCUAGUGAGAUGAACCCGGUACCUCAGAUGGAAAUGCAGAAAUCACCAGUCUUCUGCGUCGCUCACGCUGGGAGCUGUAGACCGGAGCUGUUCCUAUUCGGCCAUCUUGUCUCCUCCCGUGAACUGGAAAUUCCCUGUCUCCCCUUAACCAGCACUGGAAGCAGAUGGGAAGAGAAUAGCUGUGACUGACUCACACUCUAACCCAGCAACCCUCAGCAUACAAGUGGGAGACCAUAAAGUUUUUCAAGACCCCAAAAGAGGCCAAAGGUCUGAUAAUUGCUGGGAGAAGGUCCACUAUCCAAGAAGAGAAGAGGAAAAGGAAUUAAAGUCUCCAAGCACUGGGGAUGCAAGAAGAGAGUUGCACAGGAGAGAAAGAAGAAGUUGUCCACGGGGUGACCCUGCAAUUGGAGGGAAAUGCAUGUGGAUAUGUGCAGGGAGUCUAGGAAGUGAAGCCUUAGUGAUCAUUUACAAGAAUGAGGGUUAGGUAAAAUAAGGGAUGCAAAGCCACCUGUAGUCUAUUCUAACCUCACUCCAUCACUCUAUACAAUCUGUGUUUUAUCAUCUGAAAUGUUAAGUAAAGACCUGUUUGGGUCUUCUUCAGAAUCCCAUACAUUUGAGUUCAUUAGUCAGAAAAAGGGAAAAUACCACCACCCCAUCCUGGAAUGGCAGUCAUGUACACUUUUAUAAUGAGAGAUUGGGCAGCAAAGGGGGCCCCUUGUGGACCUCACCCAGCCAGAGAAGGAGGCAGAAUGUUUCCUUUACUAUCUUUUCCUCUCCCCAGAGGAACACUACAUAUUGUUCCCUCCAUGGGCUUAAGAGAAGGUGCCAGGGUUACAGAUAGAUAUAUCGCUAGCUGUAGAGCACAGGGUGAAUUGGGAUGUCCAUGUACAAAGCUAGGGACAGGAGAAUCAGUUUAAAGACUUUAAAAAUAAUUAGGAAAAAAAGGAAGGCCUGACCCAAAGCUUAGGAGUGCAGGUAGAGAAGAGAUGGUGCCAUGAUAUACCAUGUCUCUGGGACUUUUCUGUAUUCCUCUUCCUCUGUAUACUGUAUUGCCCUCAUUCCCUAUUUAUUCAAAAUCUGUGCUACCUCCACUGCGAAGACUUCCACGAGAAAAUUCAGAUAUUUCUUCUUUUGUGGACACUUUCUACCUUACAAAUAAGUUAAUUUUAAUUCAAGGAAGAGUUUUUCCGGAACCCUGUUGGCCUGCUCACAGGAAUGUAAGUUCCUUAAAUCUAGGGCACAGUGUCUUUGAGAACUGCAAUCACCUACAUCAACAUGACAUAGCUAUUAGGACUAAGAACAGAGACCACCUGUGUCAACAUGAGUUACUAUUUUUUUCCGUGAAACAUUUGUCCAAGAAAGAUAAGACUGUAACCAAUAAAUAGUUUGCAAGUAAUUCCUGCAAAUCAAUUUGUCUGAGAUAACACUCUGCUUGACUAGGCAAAUAGCUCACUUAUCAAACAGCAAUUUAUUCGUUAAAACCAUCAUCUUGCUCUGAUGACCAAUACUAAGCUAUUAUGUGCUGACCACUGCUCCAUCUCAAUCCAUUUUCUACUUUGAAGGGCCCUUUUAAACUACCUGAGGUAGACCUCCAAAUCCUAUAAAUACCUUCUUUUGUACAACAUUGCUAAGACUGUCAAGGGGGUGUUCUCUCUUACUACAGUGAGGGAGGCUAUCUGGCGGUGAUAUUUUGAAGUAUUCAACAUCUUUCGUUCUAAAUCCAUCCUGAAAUAUUUAUGAAGCUCACGGCAGUGCUUAGUAAAUAUUUGUUGAAAGAAGUAUUUAAGAGGAAAAUCAAUGUGACGAUGUUGGUAGAUAGGAAAGUCAAGGAUACUUCAAAAGUAUGAAGUUAACUUGUGCCAUCACUUAAGAGGGCAAAAACACAAGAGCAUAUUUUCAGUGAGAAGACAGUGAUUUCAAUUCUAGGUAUGUUGUUUGACAUUGCUGGGAUGUGGAAAUAGAGAGGUCUGAUACACAUGCUCUGUGCUCAGUGAUGAAAGGCCCCCAGGAAUAAGAUUUGUGAGGAAGUUUGGGAACUUGUUUUCUUAAUUAGUGGUUCUCAAAGUAUGAUCUUCAGGCCAGCAACAUCAGCACCACUGGGGACUUUGUGGAAAUGUAAAUUUUGGGGCCCAGGCCACACCUACUUAAUUGAAAAGUCUGGGAUGGGGUUCAACUAUCAGUGUUUUAAGAAGUCCUCCAGGUGAUCUGCUAUACCAUGAAGUUUGAGGACCACUAUCUUAAAAAUUAAUCAGAACUACCAAGCUCUAAUGCUCAAUGCUAUCCAGACUUUUGGUGAUAAACCUACUAAGGCAUGCUAACAUUGUGUUCUUUGUACAGCCAGGUCCUCCCUAACAGGGGAUCUAAGAGGCUAUAAAUAAAAGCAAUGAAAGCUUUUACUCUAUGCAUUUGAAUGCUAGCUAUACCACUUUCUAUUUAUGUGUCUUAGGAAGUAAAUUGCUUAACCUUUUUGAGCCUAGGGUCCUCAUCUGUAAAAUGGGAAUGCUAAUGGUACCUAUUUCAUUGAAUUCUUCUGAUGAUUAAAUGAGUUCAUAUAUGUAAAGUGCUUAAAGCUGUAAUAAGUUUGCUGCUUUUAAAAUCUUUACUCAUUUAGAAAGUCACUUGCCCCUGGUCCCCC